UGUGGGAGCGGGCUUGCUCGCGAAAGCGGUGGGUCAGUUCCAGAUGUACUGACUGACACACCGCUUUCGCGAGCAAGCCCGCUCCCACA
rnacentral:misc_RNA from 1 species